rnacentral:rRNA from 1 species
CAGCAGCCGCGGUAAUACGGAGGGGGCUAGCGUUGUUCGGAAUUACUGGGCGUAAAGCGCACGUAGGCGGCUUGGUAAGUUAGAGGUGAAAGCCCAGGGCUCAACCCUGGAAUUGCCUUUAAGACUGCCGAGCUAGUAGGUGAGAGAGGUAAGUGGAAUUCCGAGUGUAGAGGUGAAAUUCGUAGAUAUUCGGAAGAACACCAGUGGCGAAGGCGGCUUACUGGCUCAUUCUAGACGCUGAGGUGCGAAAGCGUGGGGAGCAAACAGGAUUAGAUACCCGGGUAGUCCCUGUCUCUUAUAC